CGGCGGAGCAUGUGGAUUAAUUCGAUGCAACGCGAAGAACCUUACCUGGGUUUGACAUACACCGGAAAGCCAUGGAGACAGCCCUCGGGACAGGUGUGACGAGCGCAACCCUUAUCCUAUGUUGCCAGCGGGACGUCAAGUAUCAUGCCCCUUAUGUCCGGGCUUCAUACAUGGCCGGUACAAGGGCUGCGAAGCCGUAAGGUGGAGCGUCCCACAAAGCCGGUCUCAGUUCGGAUCGGGGUGCAACUCGACCCCGUGAAGUCGGAGUCGCUAGUAAUCGAGAUCAGCAACGCUGCGGUGAAUACGUUCCCGGGCCUUGUACACACCGCCGUCACGUCACGAAAGUCGGUAACACCCGAAGCCGGUGGCCUAACCCCUUACGGGGGAGGAGCCGUCGAAGUGGGACUGGCGAUUGGGACGAAGUCGUACAAGGU
rnacentral:rRNA from 1 species